UACGUAGGCAGCGAGCGUUGUUCGGAGUUACUGGGCGUAAAGAGUGCGUAGGCGGUUUUCUAAGUUUGGUGUGAAAUCUCCCGCUUAACUGGGAGGGUGCGCCGAAGACUGGAAGGCUUGAGUAUGGGAGAGGUAAGCGGAAUUCCUGGUGUAGCGGUGAAAUGCGUAGAUAUCAGGAGGAACACCUGCGGUGUAGACGGCUUACUGGACCGUAACUGACGCUGAGGCACGAAAGCGUGGGUAGCAAACAGG
rnacentral:rRNA from 1 species